UGGGAUGUAAAAUUAUUCUAAGACAAAAGAGCUAGACUGGCUCUCUAAAAGAUAAAGGCAUGAAGACUAUAUGUGAAUCUAACCAAGAUUAGUGUUUUGAAAAACAAAUGGAAGGAAACAGCAAGCAUGCAAGAGAAAUGACGGUCUUUCUAAAGGGAAAGUUAUUUUCAAAAGAUGUAGUAGAUUGAACUAUUGCUUCUUCAUAUUCACUCUGCUUUCUUGUAAAAGAAUUAUAUACAGUUGCACCAUGCACGGGAUUUGUAGUGUCUCCCAUUGGAGAAGUAUGUAUCCUCACCCAGAUGACAUCAAGCUUGUUUGUGUGACUUGCUUUGGCCAAUGGCAUGUAAAUGAAUGUGGCAUGUAUCACAUCUAAGCCAAAGCAUUGAGAGUCGUGUUUUGCCAGCCAUAUCAUUUGCUUUUCCACCCUUUGGGAAACGGUUGAGUUUCUACUCACACUGCCUCUGAUCCUUUAAGCCAGAAGAUCAAAGCUAUCUUCAUCCAACGUGGAGUAGCUGAUAAGGCAAGCUACAGUUGGCCCAGCACUGUUUGGGGUAAUAAACGUGAACCUUCUGAUUUGC
rnacentral:lncRNA from 1 species